rnacentral:ncRNA from 1 species
UUCUUAUCUAGAGAAGCGGAGGGACUGGCCCUAUGAAGCUUCGGCAACAGACUUUUUUAAAAGUACUGUGCUAAUUCCUGCAAGCAUGUUUAAUGCUUGGAAGAUAAGAG